rfam:Kandleria vitulina DSM 20405 Scaffold5, whole genome shotgun sequence.
UGCGAGAAUCAAUCGCUAGAAGUAGAGGAAAGUCCGUGCUAUCACGAGCUGUGAUGCUCGUAGUGUUCGUGCUAGGCCCAAUAAGCCUAGGCAACGCAAGUUGACGACGGCGAUGCUCCUAAGUCUUUGAUAUGGAGCUAGCCAUAAAGUGCCACAGAGACUAUGGCUUAGCGAAAGCUAAGAGUGAAAAGUUGGUAAACUCCGCGAGGUAGAAACCCAAAUUUGGUAGGGGAGUCUGAUGGAAGGAACUGAACUGACAUCAGGUAGGAAACUAAGAGAAAUGAUUGGUUGAAAAACAGAACACGGCUUACAAGA